GACGAACGCUGGCGGCGUGCUUAACACAUGCAAGUCGAACGGAAAGGCCCUGCUUUUGUGGGGUGCUCGAGUGGCGAACGGGUGAGUAACACGUGAGUAACCUGCCCUUGACUUUGGGAUAACUUCAGGAAACUGGGGCUAAUACCGGAUAGGAGCACCCGCUGCAAGGGGGGGGUUGGAAAGUUUCGGCGGUUGGGGUUGGACUCGCGGCUUAUCAGCUUGUUGGUGGGGUAGUGGCUUACCAAGGCUUUGACGGGUAGCCGACCUGAGAGGGUGACCGGCCACAUUGGGACUGAGAUACGGCCCAGACUCCUCCGGGAGGCAGCAGUGGGGAAUAUUGCACAAUGGGCGGAACCCUGAUGCAGCAACGCCGCGUGCGGGAUGACGGCCUUCGGGUUGUAAACCGCUUUCGCCUGUGACGAAGCGUGAGUGACGGUAAUGGGUAAAGAAGCACCGGCUAACUACGUG
rnacentral:rRNA from 1 species